GACGAACGCUGGCGGCGUGCUUAACACAUGCAAGUCGAACGGACAGGCCCUGCGCUUGUGGGGUGCUCGAUUGGCGAGCGGGGGAGUAACACGCGAGUAACCUGCACUUGACUGUGGGGUAACUUCAGGGAACUGGGGCUAAUACAGGGUAGGAGCUCUUGCAGCAUGGGGGGGGUUGGAGAGAUUCGGCGGUUGGGGAUGGAAUCGCGGGUUAUCAGCUUCUUGGUGGGGUAGGGGAGGACAAGGGCUUCGACGGGUAGCCGGCCUGAGAGGGUGACCGGCCACAUUGGGACUGAGAUACGGCCCAGACUCCUACGGGAGGCAGCAGUGGGGAAUAUUGCACAAUGGGCGGAAGCCUGAUGCAGCAACGCCGCGUGCGGGAUGACGGCCUUCGAGUUGUAAACCGAUUUCGCCUGUGACGAAGCGUGAGUGACGGUAAUGGGUAAAGAAGCACCGGCUAACUACGUG
rnacentral:rRNA from 1 species